rnacentral:rRNA from 1 species
ACGGAAGGCAGCAGUGGGGGAUAUUGCACAAUGGGGGAAACCCUGAUGCAGCGACGCCGCGUGAGUGAUGAAGUAUUUCGGUAUGUAAAGCUCUAUCAGCAGGGAAGAAAAUGACGGUACCUGACUAAGAAGCACCGGCUAAAUACGUGCCAGCAGCCGCGGUAAUACGUAUGGUGCAAGCGUUAUCCGGAUUUACUGGGUGUAAAGGGAGCGUAGACGGCAUAGCAAGCCAGAUGUGAGAGGUGGAGGCUCAACCCCCAAGCUGCAUUUGGAACUGUUAAGCUAGAGUAUCGGAGAGGUAAGUGGAAUUCCUAGUGUAGCGGUGAAAUGCGUAGAUAUUAGGAGGAACACCAGUGGCGAAGGCGGCUUACUGGACGAUAACUGACGUUGAGGCUCGAAAGCGUGGGGAGCAAACAGGAUUAGAUACCCUGGUA